rnacentral:rRNA from 1 species
AGUGAAAUUGAACUCGCUGUGAAGAUGCAGUGUACCCGCGGCAAGACGGAAAGACCCCGUGAACCUUUACUAUAGCUUGACACUGAACAUUGAGCCUUGAUGUGUAGGAUAGGUGGGAGGCUUUGAAGUGUGGACGCCAGUCUGCAUGGAGCCGACCUUGAAAUACCACCCUUUAAUGUUUGAUGUUCUAACGUGGACCCGUAAUCCGGGUUGCGGACAGUGUCUGGUGGGUAGUUUGACUGGGGCGGUCUCCUCCUAAAGAGUAACGGAGGAGCACGAAGGUUGGCUAAUCCUGGUCGGACAUCAGGAGGUUAGUGCAAUGGCAUAAGCCAGCUUGACUGCGAGCGUGACGGCGCGAGCAGGUGCGAAAGCAGGUCAUAGUGAUCCGGUGGUUCUGAAUGGAAGGGCCAUCGCUCAACGGAUAAAAGGUACUCCGGGGAUAACAGGCUGAUACCGCCCAAGAGUUCAUAUCGACGGCGGUGUUUGGCACCUCGAUGUCGGCUCAUCACAUCCUGGGGCUGAAGUAGGUCCCAAGGGUAUGGCUGUUCGCCAUUUAAAGUGGUACGCGAGCUGGGUUUAGAACGUCGUGAGACAGUUCGGUCCCUAUCUGCCGUGGGCGCUGGAGAACUGAGGGGGGCUGCUCCUAGUACGAGAGGACCGGAGUGGACGCAUCACUGGUGUUCGGGUUGUCAUGCCAAUGGCACUGCCCGGUAGCUAAAUGCGGAAGAGAUAAGUGCUGAAAGCAUCUAAGCACGAAACUUGCCCCGAGAUGAGUUCUCCCUGAGACUUAGAGUCUCCUGAAGGAACGUUGAAGACGACGACGUUGAUAGGCCGGGUGUGUAAGCGCAGCGAUGCGUUGAGCUAACCGGUACUAAUGAACCGUGAGGCUUAACCUU